CAAAAUGAACGUGCACGGUGAUUGGAAAUUUGAUAAGCACACGGGUUUGGCUUCCAUCCACGGUUCAGCAAGAAGAGAAGUGUUGAGGUGAGAGAAGCACGUCCAGCAGCCACUUCAUAUCCAGCCUUCACACGAAGUUACACGGAAAAGAGCAGAGGGUGCGUUGAAAAGAGCAAGGUGACGUCCAGCACUUAACACAGUGGAUAGCAGCAACCACCAAGCACGGGCUGUAUCCAGCAAAGAAGGAGGUGCACACGGAAGUAACAUCAAGUGGUCUAGCAGCUUGAGGAAGGGGUGCCUGGAGUAGCUGAUUCAACUCCAGCAUCUUGGAUUUGAGGAGGUGCUGGGAGACAAAUGGGCAGCAGGGCCUGGUCCAACAUCCAGUCUACACACAGCCAGAGAGAGAUGGAGGGUUACGGUUGGAGGAUAAAACACUUUGCUGGGGAGUGAAGCAUGGGGUGCUGGAAGGAGGUGUCUCGGCCAGGAGCGGGAGCCAGCCGCCACCCCUCACGGAAAAACUCUCUCAUUCUGCUCUUGGUUUAUGGAACGUUUUUUGGGAAUUUGGGGGAGAGUUUGUUUUUACGCUGUCUUCUCUGGAAAUGGAUUCAGCACUUUUGCAUUGAGUACUCAUUUGUCUUCUUGAUUCCAAAGCUGUCACAGUCACAUUGUUUGGCAUUGGUUCUUUAUUUCAUUUUGAUUCCAGCAUUGGUGUGCACACGUUUUAUUCAGCUGCUGUUACAUUGAUUUUCAUUCUUUUUCAAUUUGAGAGGAUUUGCGGAUUUCAUGAAGAAGGCAAGUGUGUCACGGCCAGAUAGUAGCAUUUUAGAAGGAUUUUUAAUUUCCAAUUUUCUUGGGAGCUGCUCACGGUCACGGGUUGCAUCCACCCCUUUUCUUUCUUUUAGAUUCAUUGCUUGGAAAAUGGAGCUGCACUGUGCAUUUCAUUUUAAGCUGUUGGUGGUAAACAUUUUGGAAAAAAGAUGCGUGAUUCAUUUUUAUUUUGGUUGGAAGAACAAAGCAAGCGGUAUUUCAUUCACUUAGGGGUGCAGCGUUUUUCAUUUGGAGAAUUCAUUUUAGUUGCUUUGAGAAAUGACAUGCUGGAAGAGGAAGAGAUGGUACGGCCUCGGGAUGGGACCUCGAACAACACAUUUAAUAUCUUUUAGGCAAAAUGCAUUUUACUUUACUGAAGCAAGCAUUUAAUAUUAAAUUUCUUUAAGCAUUCAUUUCAAUUUCCCGCCAUUCUCAGUUUGCAUUUAAUUGUUUAGCUCAAUGUUGCACUUUUAAUUUGGUUAAAGCACUUUUCAAUUUAAUGUUCUCUAUUUUUUUUGGUAGUGAUAUUUUAGUUACGAUGAUAGCUUAAAUGACCAACUCUUUUAAUCCUGUGUUUACAUUCGUGUUUAUGUUUGUGUGUUAAUUUAGUUCACUUGCAUUCUCAAAAAUCUUCACAAAACUCCCCCACAAUGUGUUCGACCUAUUACCUGAACCACAUUUGGUCCUUGAGAGACGACCUAGGAGUCACUUCCUAGCACUAUACUGCAUUCUUUUAGGCACAUCAAAUUUGAUGGGCCGCGACAGCCCGCAUCAAAUUUUGGUGCCGUUGCGUGGGACCAACAGUUCAAUCUUAGAGUUUUUGUUGUGUUAGUGUGUGUUGGGUUUUGUCUUGUGUUGUGAUGUGAUGUUUUGUUUUGUGUGUGCGUUACUGUGUGUGAGUUUUGUGUGUUUAAUUGUGUUGUGUUUCAUUUGUUUCGUAAUUUUGAGCAUUUCCUUUCUUCUUUCUCCCUUCUUUUUGCAUGUCUACCUAUUUUGAUUUUGUGAAUACUGCUUCUUCUGCCUAUGCUUAUGACUAUGAUUCUCCUUCUGCAUUUAACUCUGAGUUUAGUUCUCAUGUAUAUUUUGCUGAUGUCUAUGUUGAGAACAGUAUGACUCAUCCUCUAACUUCUGAAAAUGCUCCUUGGGAGCCGGUUCCACUUGAUGAGGAGGAUGUUCGUUGUGUUUUCAACACUGGACUGAUACAUUUUCUACCUGAGUUUCAUGGUUUUGCAGGAGAAUGCCCACAUAAACAUUUGGAGAAGUUCUAUAUCAUUUGCUCUGUAAUGAAACCUCCAGAUGUCCCGGAUGAUCACAUUUUCCUAAGAGCAUUUUCACACUCAUUACAAGGAGCAGCGAAGGAUUGAUGUUAUUGUCUUCCUCCAGGAUCCGUCACUAGUUGGGAAGAUCUUGAGCAUCAGUUUCUGGGCAAAUUCUCCCAUGUGCAAUAUGGUUACAACAACGAUCCUGGGUGGAAUGAUCCUAACAUGGGAUGGUAUGGUGCUUCACAGGAAUAUCAAUAUCAAAAGCCACCAUUUCAGAACACUUAUAUGCCUCAACCAGUCCAGGAAUCACAACAGUUGCAACUUCAUGAGCCUGCCGAAAUAGCUCCUCAUCCUUCUACAUCUAAGCUUACAUUGAAGGAGUUAUUGGAGCAUAUGACCAUGCAAGAUCUUCAGUUCAAGCAAGAGAACAUGGAGUUUCAGCAGGAAACACAAGUUGCCAUUCAGAGUUUGACUGAUCAGAUAGGGCAGAUGGCCACUCAACUCACUCAGGAACAACCUCAAGAAUCAGAGGAAUCUUCAUUUCAGACUGUUCAGAUUCCUGAUGAUGUCAGUGUCAUCCACAUAGGAGAUGGGGAGCAGAGUCAUGCGCUCAUUGUGCCGCCUACUUUCCCACCCUCCUAUGUCCCUACUCUUGCACAUAAGGAGACUAAUGAAGGUUUUGAGGACCAGGCAGGUAUAAGCAGUAAUUUUGAGCCAGGUAGACCAUUUUCAUCCUUCACCACUAUUCCAAUCUUUAGGGAAGUGGAGGUAAACAUACCUCAAAUUGAUCAUUCUAUUGAUGAUUGUGCUAUGCAUGAUUAUGCUGUCGAUAGGUAUGUUGAUGAUUAUAUUGUUGAUGAGUUUGUCUUUAAUUCGUCCUCUAUGCAUGAUGAGAACCACUUUUUGCUAUCACAUCCAAAUGUUUAUUCUCCAUGCACUGAACAUGAAUCUGAGUCUGUUGAAUUUGAAAUUGAUUCAUGUUGUGAGAGUAUAUCUAUUGUUCAGCCUGUUACACUAGGAUUGGGUGUUAUACCCCUGCGUGUCAAUUCUUUGGAGCCACGAUGUACUAACCAUGUUGCAGGAGGUACAUAUGAAUUUGACCAACAUGCACCCCCAAUAGAAGACAAGGGUGCUUAUAUACACAACAGUUUGAAGAUCAUUAGGCACCGGCUGAACCCACUCAUCAACAAUCUUUGCUUCUUAGAUCCAGCUAUGGAAGACAUUUCCCUACUCGAUCAAAUCUGGAGGAUGAAGCAGUUCUUCCUCAAAACUUCCUUACUGGAUCCAGUGGUGGAAAACAUCUCCCUGAUAGUCCAAAAUUGGCAACUUCCACCAUGACCAGGGGAGUUUUCUUUUCCCUUCUCCCCCUUUCCCUACUUUCAUUGCACUUGUCCAUGAUUUGUUCACUGUUCUGAUUUCUGAUCUUAUGCUUAUGACACAUUGAGGGCACUGUGUAGUUUAAGUGUGGGCUAUUGGGGGAGAUUUUUAUUUUUCUUCGUUAGUUUUUGUUUUCUUGGUUAAUUUUUUUCUUUUCUUGGUAGUUUUUGUAGUGUCUUGUGUAUAGUUUGCAUGUUUCUCUUGACGUUUGGACUUUGUUUAGGUUGUAGACUCGUCUUCACUUGGUUGAUACUUAUGGUUUGAAACCCUUGUUUUUCUUUGCUUGGGAAGAUGAUUAUGAUGUUUGACAGGUUGAAUUGAUUGUGACACAAUUACCAUGUGUGAGAUUUGAGCCACUUUAUGUUCUUUCUUGUGUGUGAUAUGUCUCUUGAUUGCUUGCACAUAUGCCUUGGCUUGACUCUUGUUGAUAAUUCUUGAUUGAUAUGCAUGUUUGGAAGUGAUAAAGGCAGUUUUGUUCUUGAGCCUCUCUAGCCAAAUAAGCCUACUGUGUUCUAAACCUUUGUUAACCCCUUUUGAGCCUAUACUUUCUCCAUUUCUUUGUUUUGAAGCUCAUACACUAACCCUAAGUGAAAAACCAUGAUUACCUUAACUUUAGGGAAUUUUGGAGCUUUGGAAGUGUUUUGGGAACAAGUGUGGUCUCCUUGGGGAUUUUGAUGAAUUGGCUAGUUGGUUACUCUUCUUGAUUUAUUUCAUAAAUAUGUUGUGCAUCUUGUCUCUUUUAGUUGUGUCCUAAACAAAGAGAAAAGAAAAGAGACAAGAUGAGAAAAAAAAAUACAGAAAAAUGAGAAAAAUAAAAAAAUUAUGAAUAAUGGAGUCAAGAAGAGGAUUGAAUUAGAGGUUUGGGUGUGUUUGACUGUGUCUACACUUGUUCCCCAUUGCUCCUCUAUUUCUUUUGGUUUGUAGCUUCUCAUCCAUAUUUAUCCUCCCUUGUCCUUGGCCCCGUUUCACCCACAAAAGACCUUUUGAUUUGAACAUGCAUAUGUUUUCAGUGUUGAUAUUAGAGGUUUGCCAAGUCUGUUGUUGUUUGCUUUCUUGAGUGCAUUGAGUUGAAAUUCUUUACCUUAUGCACUUGAGAGAAACAUUGAUAGUGCAUCUGUGAGGUUUUGUUACUUUUGAUUCACCUCUAGAGCUGAUUGAUCAUUUUGCCAUGUCUUGAAUUGCUUGGAUGAUUUCAUGAGUAUCUGCUUUCUCUGAUUGAUUCUAUGUUGGAUAUUGUCUACUUCUUUUCUUUGUCCAGAGUCCUUGAGAACUGUGUAAUUUUGUUUUUGUCCUUGUUAGUCUUUGUUUUCUGUGUGCUUAGUUUGUGUCACUUCCCUGAUGUCCUUUGAACUAUUCCUUGAUCUGCGUCUUGAUUUUGCCCAGGAGUGCAAAAGACUAAGUGUGGUCUAUUUUGAUGAGUCAAUAUUUUCUCGAUUUCACUUAGUUUAUUGUGCUGGAAUUAAUCAGGGAAUUGUGCUUAAAUGUCUGGGAAAUUGUUCGAUAAUAUUUUAGGAAAUUUGGAGGUGAAAAGAAAAUGCCACAUCAAUUAUAAUUUAAGUUAAAAUGAUUGAGGAGGUGUGAAUUUCAAUUAAGGGGUGCAAACGGAUUACCUGGAACGUUGGGAUGAAGAUGUGCUGCUUGGGAGAAGAAGGAGGUCACGAAGAAGGGGCAGCAGGCCCAACUAUCUUCAUUCACGCUUCCAGCAACACGUCCAGCUUGGUCCAGCAAGCAAGCUUCACACGCAUCCACGGUGCACCCAACAGUAGUGAGGUGGGCGUUCAUUCUUCAUGGAAAGGUGCACACGGAAAUCCAACACGCGGUCCAACAAGCUUACAGUGCUUGGAGAUUUGAUGCCACGUCUUGGAGAUAAAGGGGCUGCAAUCCACACGUCCAGAGCAUCUCGGUCCAACACAACAAGCAAAAUGACGGUGCAUGGCGAGUGGAAAUUUGAUAAGCACACGGGUUUGGCUUCCAUCCACGGUUCAGCAAGAAGAGAAGUGUUGAGGUGACACAAGCACGUCCAGCAGCCACUUCACAUCCAGCCUUCACACGAAGCUACACGGACAGCAGCAGAGGACGCGUUGAAAAGAGCAAGGUGACGUCCAACACUUCACACGGUGGACAGCAGCAAGCACCAAGCACGGGCUGUAUCCAGCAAAGAAGGAGGUGCACACGGAAGUAACAACAAGCGGUCCAGCAGCUUGAGGAAGGGGUGCCUGGAGUAGCUGAUUCAACGUCCAGCAUCUUGGAUUUGAGGAGGUGCUAGGAGGGAAAUGGGCAGCAGGGCCUGGUCCAACAUCCAAUCUACACACAGCCAGAGAGAGAUGGAGGGUUAUGGUUGGAGGAUAAAACACUUUGCUGGGGAGUGAAGCACGGGGUGCUGGAAGCAGGUGUCUCGGCCUGGAGCUGGAGCCAGCCGCCACCCCUCACGGAAAAACUCUCUCAUUCUGCUCUUGGUUUAUGGAACGUUUUUUGGGAAUUUGGGGGAGAGUUUGUUUUUACGCUGUCUUCUCUGGAAAUGGAUUCAGCACUUUUGCAUUGAGUACUCAUUUGUCUUCUUGAUUCCAAAGCUGUCACAGUCACAUUGUUUGGCAUUGGUUCUUUAUUUCAUUUUGAUUCCAGCAUUGGUGUGCACACGUUUUAUUCAGCUGCUGUUACAUUGAUUUUCAUUCUUUUUCAAUUUGAGAGGAUUUGCGGAUUUCAUGAAGAAGGCAAGUGUGUCACGGCCAGAUAGUAGCAUUUUAGAAGGAUUUUUAAUUUCCAAUUUUCUUGGGAGCUGCUCACGGUCACGGGUUGCAUCCACCCCUUUUCUUUCUUUUAGAUUCAUUGCUUGGAAAAUGGAGCUGCACUGUGCAUUUCAUUUUAAGCUGUUGGUGGUAAACAUUUUGGAAAAAAGAUGCGUGAUUCAUUUUUAUUUUGGUUGGAAGAACAAAGCAAGCGGUAUUUCAUUCACUUAGGGGUGCAGCGUUUUUCAUUUGGAGAAUUCAUUUUAGUUGCUUUGAGAAAUGACAUGCUGGAAGAGGAAGAGAUGGUACGGCCUCGGGAUGGGACCUCGAACAACACAUUUAAUAUCUUUUAGGCAAAAUGCAUUUUACUUUACUGAAGCAAGCAUUUAAUAUUAAAUUUCUUUAAGCAUUCAUUUCAAUUUCCCGCCAUUCUCAGUUUGCAUUUAAUUGUUUAGCUCAAUGUUGCACUUUUAAUUUGGUUAAAGCACUUUUCAAUUUAAUGUUCUCUAUUUUUUUUGGUAGUGAUAUUUUAGUUACGAUGAUAGCUUAAAUGACCAACUCUUUUAAUCUUGUGUUUACAUUCGUGUUUAUGUUUGUGUGUUAAUUUAGUUCACUUGCAUUCUCAAAAAUCUUCACAAAACCCCCCCACAAUGUGUUCGACCUAUUACCUGAACCACAUUUGGUCCUUGAGAGACGACCUAGGAGUCACUUCCUAGCACUAUACUGCAUUCUUUUAGGCACAUCAAAUUUGAUGGGCCGCGACAGCCCGCAUCAAAUUUUGGUGCCGUUGCGUGGGACCAACAGUUCAAUCUUAGAGUUUUUGUUGUGUUAGUGUGUGUUGGGUUUUGUCUUGUGUUGUGAUGUGAUGUUUUGUUUUGUGUGUGCGUUACUGUGUGUGAGUUUUGUGUGUUUAAUUGUGUUGUGUUUCAUUUGUUUCGUAAUUUUGAGCAUUUCCUUUCUUCUUUCUCCCUUCUUUUUGCAUGUCUACCUAUUUUGAUUUUGUGAAUACUGCUUCUUCUGCCUAUGCUUAUGACUAUGAUUCUCCUUCUGCAUUUAACUCUGAGUUUAGUUCUCAUGUAUAUUUUGCUGAUGUCUAUGUUGAGAACAGUAUGACUCAUCCUCUAACUUCUGAAAAUGCUCCUUGGGAGCCGGUUCCACUUGAUGAGGAGGAUGUUCGUUGUGUUUUCAACACUGGACUGAUACAUUUUCUACCUGAGUUUCAUGGUUUUGCAGGAGAAUGCCCACAUAAACAUUUGGAGAAGUUCUAUAUCAUUUGCUCUGUAAUGAAACCUCCAGAUGUCCCGGAUGAUCACAUUUUCCUAAGAGCAUUUUCACACUCAUUACAAGGAGCAGCGAAGGAUUGAUGUUAUUGUCUUCCUCCAGGAUCCGUCACUAGUUGGGAAGAUCUUGAGCAUCAGUUUCUGGGCAAAUUCUCCCAUGUGCAAUAUGGUUACAACAACGAUCCUGGGUGGAAUGAUCCUAACAUGGGAUGGUAUGGUGCUUCACAGGAAUAUCAAUAUCAAAAGCCACCAUUUCAGAACACUUAUAUGCCUCAACCAGUCCAGGAAUCACAACAGUUGCAACUUCAUGAGCCUGCCGAAAUAGCUCCUCAUCCUUCUACAUCUAAGCUUACAUUGAAGGAGUUAUUGGAGCAUAUGACCAUGCAAGAUCUUCAGUUCAAGCAAGAGAACAUGGAGUUUCAGCAGGAAACACAAGUUGCCAUUCAGAGUUUGACUGAUCAGAUAGGGCAGAUGGCCACUCAACUCACUCAGGAACAACCUCAAGAAUCAGAGGAAUCUUCAUUUCAGACUGUUCAGAUUCCUGAUGAUGUCAGUGUCAUCCACAUAGGAGAUGGGGAGCAGAGUCAUGCGCUCAUUGUGCCGCCUACUUUCCCACCCUCCUAUGUCCCUACUCUUGCACAUAAGGAGACUAAUGAAGGUUUUGAGGACCAGGCAGGUAUAAGCAGUAAUUUUGAGCCAGGUAGACCAUUUUCAUCCUUCACCACUAUUCCAAUCUUUAGGGAAGUGGAGGUAAACAUACCUCAAAUUGAUCAUUCUAUUGAUGAUUGUGCUAUGCAUGAUUAUGCUGUCGAUAGGUAUGUUGAUGAUUAUAUUGUUGAUGAGUUUGUCUUUAAUUCGUCCUCUAUGCAUGAUGAGAACCACUUUUUGCUAUCACAUCCAAAUGUUUAUUCUCCAUGCACUGAACAUGAAUCUGAGUCUGUUGAAUUUGAAAUUGAUUCAUGUUGUGAGAGUAUAUCUAUUGUUCAGCCUGUUACACUAGGAUUGGGUGUUAUACCCCUGCGUGUCAAUUCUUUGGAGCCACGAUGUACUAACCAUGUUGCAGGAGGUACAUAUGAAUUUGACCAACAUGCACCCCCAAUAGAAGACAAGGGUGCUUAUAUACACAACAGUUUGAAGAUCAUUAGGCACCGGCUGAACCCACUCAUCAACAAUCUUUGCUUCUUAGAUCCAGCUAUGGAAGACAUUUCCCUACUCGAUCAAAUCUGGAGGAUGAAGCAGUUCUUCCUCAAAACUUCCUUACUGGAUCCAGUGGUGGAAAACAUCUCCCUGAUAGUCCAAAAUUGGCAACUUCCACCAUGACCAGGGGAGUUUUCUUUUCCCUUCUCCCCCUUUCCCUACUUUCAUUGCACUUGUCCAUGAUUUGUUCACUGUUCUGAUUUCUGAUCUUAUGCUUAUGACACAUUGAGGGCACUGUGUAGUUUAAGUGUGGGCUAUUGGGGGAGAUUUUUAUUUUUCUUCGUUAGUUUUUGUUUUCUUGGUUAAUUUUUUUCUUUUCUUGGUAGUUUUUGUAGUGUCUUGUGUAUAGUUUGCAUGUUUCUCUUGACGUUUGGACUUUGUUUAGGUUGUAGACUCGUCUUCACUUGGUUGAUACUUAUGGUUUGAAACCCUUGUUUUUCUUUGCUUGGGAAGAUGAUUAUGAUGUUUGACAGGUUGAAUUGAUUGUGACACAAUUACCAUGUGUGAGAUUUGAGCCACUUUAUGUUCUUUCUUGUGUGUGAUAUGUCUCUUGAUUGCUUGCACAUAUGCCUUGGCUUGACUCUUGUUGAUAAUUCUUGAUUGAUAUGCAUGUUUGGAAGUGAUAAAGGCAGUUUUGUUCUUGAGCCUCUCUAGCCAAAUAAGCCUACUGUGUUCUAAACCUUUGUUAACCCCUUUUGAGCCUAUACUUUCUCCAUUUCUUUGUUUUGAAGCUCAUACACUAACCCUAAGUGAAAAACCAUGAUUACCUUAACUUUAGGGAAUUUUGGAGCUUUGGAAGUGUUUUGGGAACAAGUGUGGUCUCCUUGGGGAUUUUGAUGAAUUGGCUAGUUGGUUACUCUUCUUGAUUUAUUUCAUAAAUAUGUUGUGCAUCUUGUCUCUUUUAGUUGUGUCCUAAACAAAGAGAAAAGAAAAGAGACAAGAUGAGAAAAAAAAAUACAGAAAAAUGAGAAAAAUAAAAAAAUUAUGAAUAAUGGAGUCAAGAAGAGGAUUGAAUUAGAGGUUUGGGUGUGUUUGACUGUGUCUACACUUGUUCCCCAUUGCUCCUCUAUUUCUUUUGGUUUGUAGCUUCUCAUCCAUAUUUAUCCUCCCUUGUCCUUGGCCCCGUUUCACCCACAAAAGACCUUUUGAUUUGAACAUGCAUAUGUUUUCAGUGUUGAUAUUAGAGGUUUGCCAAGUCUGUUGUUGUUUGCUUUCUUGAGUGCAUUGAGUUGAAAUUCUUUACCUUAUGCACUUGAGAGAAACAUUGAUAGUGCAUCUGUGAGGUUUUGUUACUUUUGAUUCACCUCUAGAGCUGAUUGAUCAUUUUGCCAUGUCUUGAAUUGCUUGGAUGAUUUCAUGAGUAUCUGCUUUCUCUGAUUGAUUCUAUGUUGGAUAUUGUCUACUUCUUUUCUUUGUCCAGAGUCCUUGAGAACUGUGUAAUUUUGUUUUUGUCCUUGUUAGUCUUUGUUUUCUGUGUGCUUAGUUUGUGUCACUUCCCUGAUGUCCUUUGAACUAUUCCUUGAUCUGCGUCUUGAUUUUGCCCAGGAGUGCAAAAGACUAAGUGUGGUCUAUUUUGAUGAGUCAAUAUUUUCUCGAUUUCACUUAGUUUAUUGUGCUGGAAUUAAUCAGGGAAUUGUGCUUAAAUGUCUGGUAUUUUUCCAUACUUCCUAAUUGUGCUUAAUUUGACAAAAAAUUCUUAUUUUAAUUAAUUUGAAUUAUUUGAGCUAAUUAUUUGCAUUAUUAAUUGUAGGGAAAUUGUUCGAUAAUAUUUUAGGAAAUUUGGAGGUGAAAAGAAAAUGCCACAUCAAUUAUAAUUUAAGUUAAAAUGAUUGAGGAGGUGUGAAUUUCAAUUAAGGGGUGCAAACGGAUUACCUGGAACGUUGGGAUGAAGAUGUGCUGCUUGGGAGAAGAAGGAGGUCACGAAGAAGGGGCAGCAGGCCCAACUAUCUUCAUUCACGCUUCCAGCAACACGUCCAGCUUGGUCCAGCAAGCAAGCUUCACACGCAUCCACGGUGCACCCAACAGUAGUGAGGUGGGCGUUCAUUCUUCAUGGAAAGGUGCACACGGAAAUCCAACACGCGGUCCAACAAGCUUACAGUGCUUGGAGAUUUGAUGCCACGUCUUGGAGAUAAAGGGGCUGCAAUCCACACGUCCAGAGCAUCUCGGUCCAACACAACAAGCAAAAUGACGGUGCAUGGCGAGUGGAAAUUUGAUAAGCACACGGGUUUGGCUUCCAUCCACGGUUCAGCAAGAAGAGAAGUGUUGAGGUGACACAAGCACGUCCAGCAGCCACUUCACAUCCAGCCUUCACACGAAGCUACACGGACAGCAGCAGAGGACGCGUUGAAAAGAGCAAGGUGACGUCCAACACUUCACACGGUGGACAGCAGCAAGCACCAAGCACGGGCUGUAUCCAGCAAAGAAGGAGGUGCACACGGAAGUAACAACAAGCGGUCCAGCAGCUUGAGGAAGGGGUGCCUGGAGUAGCUGAUUCAACGUCCAGCAUCUUGGAUUUGAGGAGGUGCUAGGAGGGAAAUGGGCAGCAGGGCCUGGUCCAACAUCCAAUCUACACACAGCCAGAGAGAGAUGGAGGGUUAUGGUUGGAGGAUAAAACACUUUGCUGGGGAGUGAAGCACGGGGUGCUGGAAGCAGGUGUCUCGGCCUGGAGCUGGAGCCAGCCGCCACCCCUCACGGAAAAACUCUCUCAUUCUGCUCUUGGUUUAUGGAACAUUUUUUGGGAGUUUGGGGGAGAGUUUAUUUUUACGCUGUCUUUUCUGGAAAUGGAUUUAGCACUUUUGCAUUGAGUA